CUCCGUUGGUGAACCAGCGGAGGGAUCAUUACCGAGUUUACAACUCCCAAACCCAAUGUGAACGUUACCAAACUGUUGCCUCGGCGGGAUCUCUGCCCCGGGUGCGUCGCAGCCCCGGACCAAGGCGCCCGCCGGAGGACCAACCAAAACUCUUAUUGUAUACCCCCUCGCGGGUUUUUUUUAUAAUCUGAGCCUUCUCGGCGCCUCUCGUAGGCGUUUCGAAAAUGAAUCAAAACUUUCAACAACGGAUCUCUUGGUUCUGGCAUCGAUGAAGAACGCAGCGAAAUGCGAUAAGUAAUGUGAAUUGCAGAAUUCAGUGAAUCAUCGAAUCUUUGAACGCACAUUGCGCCCGCCAGUAUUCUGGCGGGCAUGCCUGUCCGAGCGUCAUUUCAACCCUCGAACCCCUCCGGGGGGUCGGCGUUGGGGAUCGGCCCUCCCUUAGCGGGUGGCCGUCUCCGAAAUACAGUGGCGGUCUCGCCGCAGCCUCUCCUGCGCAGUAGUUUGCACACUCGCAUCGGGAGCGCGGCGCGUCCACAGCCGUUAAACACCCAACUUCUGAAAUGUUGACCUCGGAUCAGGUAGGAAUACCCGCUGAACUUAAGCAUAUCA
rnacentral:rRNA from 1 species